ensembl:lncRNA
CUUUGACUGACACAAAACCUCAAUUAUGGAUGUGUUGCAUUGAUUUAUUUUUUGGAACAUAAUUACAUUACAGAUCUUUAGGAAAUGUGUUGUUUAAGAAUCCAAAGAGGUGUGUUGCAAAAUUGAUGGAAAUAUUUUUUCUUAAAAACGCAGAAUAACAACUUGAGUGAAGGGGUUUGAAGCAGAGGCGUUGAUAGGAUCACAAUAGUUUCGGGGCUUAGGUACCCUAUACGGAAGCGCAGGAAAUAGUUGAACGGGGAAGCGGAAAAGAGGACAACAUCGGUACUGGUGCUCCACUGAGUGUUGAGGCCAAUGUGGUUCAAUUGGUAGGGCUUGCAACUCCUGGGUUGUGGGUUUGACUCCCACGGGUCUGUUUGAAAAUAUACUCACUACUGUAAAUCGCUCUGGGUAAGAACGUCUUGCUAAAGGAUUUAAAUAUAAUUUAAAUCAACGUUUUUCGGUCACACAGAUCAGGAGGUUGUUGCUGAUGUAGCGACCUGGUUUAGUUACACGAAACAUACAUAAAUGGGGAAUAAUAAGGAACGUUGAAUGUCAAUGAUACAAAUGAGAAUGCAUACGUACAUCAACAAUAUAUAAUGCCGGGAAUACAGAAUGUAUAACCGUAGUGAGUAAACAAUAUAUAAACUGUAUUUAAAGUGAUAAGGGCUCUUAUGUCAUGGUUGUGUGUGUGUCAGAUUAGCGCACGCGGAUGUGUGGAUGACACAACAUUCCGAAGAGUCGUAUGAAUGCGGAGCGUGCUGUUACAGUAGAACAAUUACAAUAUAGGACAUGCGCGGAUUUUCCGUGGUCAUUUAUUUCCUCACCAAGAUCCAAUACAGACCUAAUCCGGCGGCAAGAUAUUUUUGCUACAAAACAAUUUUCAUAGAACAUAAGUUACUCUCCCACGGUGUUGAGGAACAGAGGCAAAGUAGUGGUAUUCCGAUGGUCUUGCAUGGUGUGGCCCCCUUAUGCUGACAAAGCCCGGAUUUUAAACACAUUGUUCUGAAGAUCUCCCCAAAACCAGCCAAAGGAUGGAAGCAAUACCCAGCACGAAGUACUCUUUGUAAUAUUCUGUGUACAGCCGUAUUUAUUUUUCGAAUGUAUGUAUUUAUAAUACUACACAUACAUAAUUAUUUUUAUUACCUUCAUUAACUGUGCAUGGUCCUUGUAAUCUGUUAGAGAAUAUUUUCACAAGAUUGCAGAGUGGUGGGAGAAGUCAUGUGUGACAUCAGACAUCAAAGCUGACUAGAAGCAAGAAUGCCAAAGAGGCCGACAACAUAUCAAGUCACUAGCCAUCCAAGUUCCAGACCAGAUCGCAGGCCAGACCAGACCAGCAUCUGAAAGGAAUGAACUUAAAUAGACAUGCGAGUUGGAGGCCAGGAGUGGAGGUCCAACCUACCACUUCAAGUCAAAUGGAAGAAAGUAACACUCUUGGAACUCCAAGACCUUGUUUUCAGACCUGUGAGCAACGUGUCCCACCAAACUCUACAGACCUCAAAGUUGUCCUUAACCAGGGACAGAAUUUUAAGCAAACCAUGUGGUGUGUGUUCGAGACGGUCUUCACACCAGACUUGGCAACCCAAACCAACUGAACUGGUGCGGGAGGGGGCAGAAGACUGUCAUCUGGUCAAUGCCACUGAAGGAUGCUGUUAUGUGUUCUGUUCUUAAAAACCCAAGUUUGCCAGUAAUUACUGAGGUCGCGGUUGAAAGGGCGGAGACGGCUGGAGGGAAAUACCUACUGAAGAAGAGGACGAUUAAUUUGUAGCUUAUAUAAUGCACAAUUGUUUGGUGUUUUU